rnacentral:rRNA from 1 species
GACGAACGCUGGCGGCGUGCCUAAUACAUGCAAGUCGAACGCUUCUUUCCUUCCGAGUGCUUGCACUCAAUUGGAAAGAGGAGUGGCGGACGGGUGAGUAACACGUGGGUAACCUACCCAUCAGAGGGGGAUAACACUUGGAAACAGGUGCUAAUACCGCAUAACAGUUUAUGCCGCAUGGCAUAAGAGUGAAAGGCGCUUUCGGGUGUCGCUGAUGGAUGGACCCGCGGUGCAUUAGCUAGUUGGUGAGGUAACGGCUCAUCAAGGCCACGAUGCAUAGCCGACCUGAGAGGGUGAUCGGCCACACCGGGACUGAGACACGGCCCAGACUCCUACGGGAGGCAGCAGUAGGGAAUCUUCGGCAAUGGACGAAAGUCUGACCGAGCAACGCCGCGUGAGUGAAGAAGGUUUUCGGAUCGUAAAACUCUGUUGUUAGAGAAGAACAAGGACGUUAGUAACUGAACGUCCCCUGACGGUAUCUAACCAGAAAGCCACGGCUAACUACGUG